UACGUAGGGUGCAAGCGUUGUCCGGAAUUAUUGGGCGUAAAGGGCUCGUAGGCGGUCCAUCGCGUCGGGAGUGAAAAGCUGGGGCUUAACCCCAGUCCUGCUUCCGAUACGGGUGGACUAGAGGUAGGUAGGGGAGAACGGAAUUCCUGGUGUAGCGGUGAAAUGCGCAGAUAUCAGGAGGAACACCGGUGGCGAAGGCGGUUCUCUGGGCCUUACCUGACGCUGAAGCGCGAAAGCCAGGGGAGCGAACAGG
rnacentral:rRNA from 1 species